rnacentral:rRNA from 1 species
CCUACGGGAGGCAGCAGUGGGGAAUAUUGCACAAUGGGGGAAACCCUGAUGCAGCGACGCCGCGUGAGCGAUGAAGUAUUUCGGUAUGUAAAGCUCUAUCAGCAGGGAAGAAAAUGACGGUACUUGACUAAGAAGCCCCGGCCAACUACGUGCCAGCAGCCGUGGUAAAACGGAGGGGGCAAGCGUUAUCCGGAUUUACCGGGUGUAAAGGGAGCGUAGACGGCUGUGCAAGCCAGAUGUGAAAGCCCGGGGCUCAACCCCGGGACUGCAGUUGAAACUGGGUGGCUGGAGUGUCGGAGAGGCAGGCGGAAUUCCUGGUGUAGCGGUGAAAUGCGUAGAUAUUAGGAGGAACACCAGUGGCGAAGGCGGCCUGCUGGACGAUGACUGACGUUGAGGCUCGAAAGCGUGGGGAGCGAACAGGAUUAGAUACCCUGGUAGUC